rnacentral:rRNA from 1 species
UCAUGCAGGUUCUAGUAUAGCUUUUUAUACGGCGAAACUGCGAAUGGCUCAUUAAAACAGUUAUAGUUUAUUUGAUAGUCAUCUGAGAUGAAAGUCUACUACAUGGAUAACCGUGGUAAUUCUAUGGCUAAUACAUGCGCAAAUAUCCUUUUUCGCAAGGAAGAGGAUAGUGUUUAUUAGAUACAGAACCAAUACACCAGUGUCACAGCUGGUGUGAAAAAGGUGAUUCAUAGUAACCGAACGGAUCGCAUUAUGGUCAUUCUUUUGUAAUGGCUGGCGAUAGAUCAUUCAAGUUUCUGACCUAUCAGCUUUCGACGGUAGUGUAUUGGACUACCGUGGCAGUGACGGGUAACGGGGAAUUAGGGUUCGAUUCCGGAGAGGGAGCCUGAGAAACGGCUACCACAUCUAAGGAAGGCAGCAGGCGCGCAAAUUACCCAAUCCUGACUCAGGGAGGUAGUGACAAGAAAUAACAACACUGGAAAUUUUAUUUCUAGUGAUUGGAAUGAUGGGAAUUUAAACCCCUUUCAGAGUAACAAUUGGAGGGCAAGUCUGGUGCCAGCAGCCGCGGUAAUUCCAGCUCCAAUAGCGUAUAUUAAAGUUGUUGCAGUUAAAAAGCUCGUAGUUGGAUGUCUGCUGGAAGCAAUCAGUCCGCCCUAUUUGUAGGGUGUGCACUUGAUGAAUUCUGGCAUUUUUGUCCCAAUGAUGUAACGGGGCGGUGGUA